UACGUAGGGUGCGAGCGUUGUCCGGAAUUACUGGGCGUAAAGAGCUCGUAGGUGGUUUGUCGCGUUGUCCGUGAAAACUCACAACUCAAUUGUGGGCGUGCGGGCGAUACGGGCAGACUGGAGUACUGCAGGGGAGACUGGAAUUCCUGGUGUAGCGGUGAAAUGCGCAGAUAUCAGGAAGAACACCCGUGGCGAAGGGCGGCUCCUCUGGGGAACGGGUACUGACGGCUGAGACGCGAAAA
rnacentral:rRNA from 1 species